UACGUAGGUGGCAAGCGUUGUCCGGAUUUACUGGGCGUAAAGAGCGCGCAGGCGGUCGAUUUAGUCGCGUGUGAAAGCCCCCGGCUCAACUGGGGAGGGUCACGCGAUACUGAUCGACUCGAAGGCAGGAGAGGGUAGUGGAAUUCCCGGUGUAGUGGUGAAAUGCGUAGAUAUCGGGAGGAACACCAGUGGCGAAGGCGACUAUCUGGCCUGUUCUUGACGCUGAGGCGCGAAAGCUAGGGGAGCAAACGGG
rnacentral:rRNA from 1 species